AAUUCUGGUGAUUAGUCCAAAUGGUUUCGCUCUCCACCUCCACGAGCCACGCUCAGCCACUUCCGUCGGCGUACAACCGCCGUCCGGCGGAGAGGAAAGUUACAGUGCGAUGCGCAUCCUUUUCCCCGCGCGAGCCUAAACAUACGAGUAACGACUCCUCCCUGGCGGUUAGAGACACGAGGCCGAGAAAAUGGGUGAAGAGCACGGAGGAGAGAUACUCGAAGGAGAUUCAAGAUGAAAUGAACUCCAAAAUCGCGUCUAGGAAAGCGAUAUCGAUAAUACUCCGAAGAGAAGCUACAAAGGCGAUAAUCGAGAAGAAGAAAGGACCAACCAACUCGAAGAAGCUUCUCCCAAGGACGGUGCUCGAGGCUCUCCACGAGCGAAUCACAGCUCUCCGAUGGGAAUCUGCUCUUCAGGUGUUUGAGCUACUUCGAGAACAGCUAUGGUACAAACCUAACGUCGGCAUCUACGUCAAGCUCAUCGUCAUGCUUGGCAAAUGCAAGCAGCCUGAAAAGGCUCAUCGGCUCUUUCAAGAAAUGAUCGGUGAAGGCUGUGUGGUGAAUCAUGAAGUGUAUACUGCGCUUCUAUCUGCUUAUAGCAGGAGUGGACGAUUUGACGAUGCGUUUACUCUUCUGGAACUUAUGAAAAGCAGUCAUAACUGUCAUCCCGAUGUGCAUACUUACUCCAUCCUCAUCAAGUCGUUUCUUCAGGUUUUUGCGUUUGAUGAGGUUCAGGCUCUGCUCGCUGACAUGAGAAGACUGGGUAUUAGGCCUAAUACAAUCACGUAUAAUACCCUCAUCGAUGCGUAUGGGAAAGCAAAAAUGUUUGUGGAGAUGGAAUCAACACUUAUCCAAAUGCUUGGAGAGGAUGACUGCAAGCCUGAUUCUUGGACCAUGAACUCAACACUUAGAGCCUUUGGUGGGAACGGGCAGAUAGAAAUGAUGGAGAAUUGUUACGACAAGUUUCAGAGCUCUGGGAUCGAACCCAACAUCAGAACAUUCAACAUCCUCCUUGAUUCGUAUGGGAAAACAGGAAAUUACAAGAAGAUGAGCGCCGUGAUGGAGUUCAUGCAGAAGUACCACUAUUCGUGGACCAUAGUCACCUACAAUGUGGUCAUUGACGCGUUCGGGAGGGCAGGAGACUUGAAACAAGUGGAAUACUUGUUUAGGCUGAUGCAGUCAGAGAGGAUAAAGCCAAGCUGUGUUACACUGUGUUCUCUUGUUCGUGCCUAUGGAAGAGCUGGUAAAGCGAAUAAAAUUGGAGGAGUCUUGCGUUUCAUUGAGAACUCAGACGUAAGGUUGGACCUUGUGUUCUUUAACUGUCUGGUAGAUGCCUACGGGAGGAUGGAGAAGUUUGCAGAGAUGAAAGGUGUUCUCGAAUUAAUGGAGAAGAAGGGAGUUAAACCUGAUAAGAUUACAUACAGGACAAUGGUUAAGGCUUACAGAAUUAGUGGCAUGACUAGCCAUGUUAAGGAACUUGAUGGUGUGGUCGAGUCCGUUGGUGAAGCCCAAGUUGUGUUGAAGAAGCCGGACUUUUAGCGAAGGAAUAGAGCUUAAUUUUCUGCUAGAUAUGAGAGUUGAAGGCUGUACGCUUCUUUCAGCUGAGUCAAAACCUCUGCAAUAGAUGGUCUGCUUGAUGCAUCUCUCCCCACACAUCUUAUAGCAACAGAAGCAGCUUUUUUCAUGCUCUCUGGAUCAAAUGUUCCCUUCAAGACAUCAUCCACAAUCUCAAAUGCUCCUGCUUGUAGUCCAGCCCUUCAUGAACAAGACGGAAUGUUACUAUCUGCCAGAAUCAAAU